UCGCAGGCACACCAAUUCAACUUGAGCGCAUUUUCGUAAUAGAAAAAUAAACAAAAAGAAUUUUUAUAUUGAGCUUGUAAAGUUUUCAGUAAUAUUCUUGAUUACAGCUUUCGCUGUUGUUGUCUUUUUGUUGUUAUAUGUAUGCUUGCAUAUAGCAAUUUUCAUAAAUCAACCAGACAAAAACGUACGCUUACGAAUGCGAUUAAAUCGAAAGUGAUGGCGAGUCAGCUACGGAACGCCAAGCAGCCGCUUGCGAGUGUACUUCCACAAACUCAAAGCACAGCGAACACAUAGCAAAGCUUCCGGCGCUUUCGCUCUUCAAACGCAUGCAAUCGCACGCUUGUGUUGCUCUUUCAAAGCUCAAGCAGCGCGGUAGCUAACAAAUCAGUUUGUUGCCAAGUUUUCUCCGACUUCUUACUACACACAAGUGCUCCCGUACCGACAGGAAUAUUCACAGUAUCCCGCUGUUAAAUUCUCGUCCAAAGCUGUAAUAAAGAAACUUUCCACAUACACAGCCAAUCGCACACGAGUAGGCUUCAAUCUAAGAGUGCUGGCGCUCAGCAGCCUCCAUGUACACUCAUACUUCGUACGCUCAGCGAUCUGCCUUGCCAAGAAGCACAUGUGUGUGUAUGUAAAAUUUAAAAGUUUUCAUAACCGGUCGUUGUAGAAUAUCUUGAAGAGCGGGGCAACCACUUUGCAACCGAAAAUAUGUGAGACUCCAACUGUAGCCGGUAACCCGACAUCAAUUUCAUUGCGCCACGUCGUAUGUGUGAAUGAAUCACUUUCCGUUACACCAAUUCUCUACUAGUAAUAGACGGAACAAAAGUAAUGAAGAUUAUUGUAUCAAAACUUUUCGUUCCCACGACAGUCGGAUCUAAGCAACUGGAAAGAAUUUGAAUUUUUAUCCGGCCAAGGACUCUCUACAACAUGCCUCGAAAUUAGUUGAGAAAGGUUUUCUGUAAAGUAAACAGUAACGAAGAGUUUAUGUGCGUAAGUAUGUGAGGCGUUGGCUGAUGACCAAUUAAAGCAUCGACUUCUGAUCUAAUCAGAUUUAGACCACAGAUAACGUAACCAUAGUCAGUAUAAGGUCCAGGUUCAGUAAACAUGGUUUCAUUGGGUAUCCUACGACACAUACUAAUACCGAUUGCAGGCGAAGAGUUUGAACGGCUUCACGAAACUACAAUUCCGUUUUGUAUAUAGUUGUUAGAUAAACAACUUCAAAUCCAAACUUGAUAUGUUCCGCAUGAAAUUCUAGCUGUGGGACCCAGUGAUCGAGAUAGAAGGGAGACAAGGGGGAAAAUUCAUCGAGCCUAAGACCUCGGUGCGUUAAAUUUUUUCUGCAACAAUAACGCUACUGCUGGACAUCGAAAAAACUUCGCUCUCUCCAAGACUGAAGAGGUGGAUCAUGAACUACCUGAGUGAUCGUCAAUCAUCCGUAUUAUUUCGAGGUAAAAACUCAAAUCAGAAGAAUUAAACAAGGGGUUCCGCACGGUGGUCCCCGCUAUUGUUUCACUUCUAUAUCUAGAAACUCCCGCAGCCACCUGAGGGAGUUUCUAUCACCACGUACGCUGAAGAUUGCGCGAUAUUGCGCAAUGACAUCAUCAUGGCAUGUAUGAUGGCAUGGUCUGCUGUCUCCGACCUUCGAACGUAACCAACACAUGCACUGACCGCCACUCACAGUGGAGCCUUCAACGCCUUCACCAGAAGGUACUAGGAAGGAUGGCAAACUCGGAGUCAAGCCACCACCAUUGCAAGAGCUUGAGUUGCCGCGAGAAACGAGAGUGACCCUUGUGCAGCUUCGUUGUGGUUACUGUAACAGGUUAAACUCUUACUUAUCCAGAAUAGACCCCGACAUAUCCAAUAUAUGUCCUGCGUGCAAUGAGUCUCCGCAUGACCAAUUUUUAUCGAAAGAUCGAGUCAUAAGUAAAAUGUAGUUACUCCGUUUUUCGAAGUUAAUCUCCAAAAUCGAAGUAUUUACUACGAAGAUCGGAAUUGAGUUCAUUCAUCACUAUUAUGACAGUCGUAUAAAAAAUCCGAAUCCUUGGCUGGAUAAGAAAUCCGGGUCCGUUCCAGUUACAUAGACCCGACUGUCGUAGGAUCGGAGCACUAGUAGGUAAAUUCCGGUAACGAAGUAGCAGCUAUUGUGGAAUUUAAAAGAGAGACAUGUGCACAACUUCAUAUUCAUGCAUGAGCUAUCGCCCCAAAAACUUACCCUUGAAGUAUUUCUAAUAUAUUUCAUAUGCAUAAGCAACAAAAGAUCUAAAAAUAAACAACAAACGACCAAGCGAUCAAUCAAUCUACCCCCACGACUGUAACUGGAACAGACCCUGGUUUCUAUGGGUCUAAAACUUUCAGCAAAGUUACUUAAGCACACUUGUCCUGAGGCAUGCAAUUAAUACGCACAACUUGUUGUAGAUUUAGUCAUUCGUCAUUCGUCAUUUAUUCAAAAUUCGUUAUUACAUUUUUAGAUUUGUAAGAACUCGUCAAAGUUAAUCACAAUGAGACGGUGUAAUAACAUGCUUCGAUUUUGUUGUGAACGCCAUAAAUUGUUAGGAGAACUAAAUGUUACCGUUAUCACAAGUAAACACAAAAACGUGAAUAAAUUAAAAA